rnacentral:rRNA from 1 species
GUACUGAGACACGGACCAGACUCCUACGGGAGGCAGCAGUGAGGAAUAUUGGACAAUGGGCGCAAGCCUGAUCCAGCCAUGCCGCGUGCAGGAUGACGGUCCUAUGGAUUGUAAACUGCUUUUGUACAGGAAGAAACACUCCCUCGUGAGGGAGCUUGACGGUACUGUAAGAAUAAGGAUCGGCUAACUCCGUGCCAGCAGCCGCGGUAAU